CUCGUGCCCGCCCACAGAUCCCGCAAGGGGGCGGGGUCUGUGACGUCAGGGGCGCGGGGGGGGCUCGCUCAUCCACACCGCGGCUGCGCGGCGCGGACCGCACCUGUAUGUAGAACGAGGGGCUGUCAGGCUGUCCAGUGGAGGUUCUUUCUGUUCUUAGGUGAACCUGGCGGGCCGCCCUGAGUCUAUGGCGCGUGUCAGCCUCUUAAAAAAGAGUUUUUCUGGGAGUGGCCGCCCUGGGCAGGGCCUACCUCUGACCCUUCCCUUUCAUCCUAGAGUGGGGCCCCCAUCGGACUCCGCCUGCCAGUCACUGCUCAGCCUUCCCGGGACCUCAGCCCCAGGCAGAAGCCAUCAGAGCACAGAGUCCUCAGAGGCUCUGUGCCAGGUCCAGGCUGAUGCCAGGGCAGCUCAGUGACGGGAUGUGUUAGUCACCUGGAGCUCCGCUCUAAACUGGAUUUGGAGAAGUUUAUCUGAAUAUAUCUCUGAAAACAAGCUUAGGAGGUGUUUACCCUUUCAAGGCAUUCGCCCCUCAGCCUGCAAAACAAAAGGAAUGGGCAAGUUCCUCCUGAGACUCCUGCAGGCAUUCUUCCUGUCAUGACCAUGGCAGUCUCGUUCCUUUCUAUUACAGUUACUGGACAAAUGGACAUUUGUGGUCAGAAGACAUAAUACAUUUUUGAUAUGUGUAUAUGUAUAAUUUUAAUUUCUGAGAACUGGACUUUUGUGGCACAGGCCUGUAAUCCCAGAAGUUAUGGGCAGGAGGAUCAGGAGGAUUAGGAGUUCUAGGUCAUCCUCAGCUACAUAGCAAGUUCAAGGCCAGUCUGGGCUACAUGAGAUCAAAACUGAAACAGCAAAGCUGUCUGAGAAUCCACCAACACCAUAAAUACUGCCUAACCCUGUAGGGUUAAACUUCUGGUCCUCCUUCCCAGAAGAGCCGGAAUGAUAAAUAUGAGCUACCAUACCCAGAUUAAUUAAAUCCUCUCUGCCAAUCGCUUUAUAGUCUUUUCUAGUAAUCUGGACGACCCCAAGAGGUGAUUAUUAGUUCCUUGCUCCAGUUACAGAUUUAACUUCUGGAAAUGUUAUUCAGACCUCGGCCUUGCUAGCUCCAGAGAGCUUGUGUUUACGUUGUCAUACUGACCGCUUCAAUUAGUGCAACAAAGGAAAAAAACAAAUACAAAAAACAACUUACUUUUCUUAGUCAUUUAGAGGAAAAUGUCCUGAGUCCAUCUUUUGGCAAGAUCAAAAGCUUCUGUCUUACAAAACAGCUUUUCAAGGUGACAUGUCACCAAAGCUCACAUGAUGAAACAAUGAAUCCUUUCACAUCCUAAGAUGAUUAAAGACCACACCAUGAGUCACAGUAGAUCUCCCAGGCAUCCCACACUGCCAAGAUGGACAGUGCCCUGGUUCCCCCAGAAUUCCUCAUACUUCCCUGGGAGAAAGCUAAACCGCACACUGGUAACCGAGACUCAAACAUAUCAGCAUGGGAAGCAGCUCCACUCCCAGUGGGCUUGGCAGUGCCUGUGUGAGGGUGUGUCUGAUUCAAUCUCAUCCAAGAGCUACAUAAAGGCCCAGAUCUCCACCUGGUUCUCAGACCUCAGAAGCCAAGAGAGGUGCCAAGACAGCUCUACCUCCACAAUCUAGACUCUGUAGCACCCACCAGGGUGCAGAGAGUCCAGGGCCCUAGACUCUAUGCAACACAACAGAACUCUGAAGACACAAUGCAGGGAGACGCAGAGCACAUUGAAGGUUUGAGGAACACCAAGACAUCCUGUAUGAGACAGCGUCAGAAGCAGGGAGGACAAAGGCCCUCAGACACCCAUUGCCUGCCUCUGAAAUCAGGAUCUUCCUGCAGGAGUGGAAAGUAGUUGAAAGAAAUGCUGGGCACCCAGGCAAGAAGAUCUACCAGAAGAGCUGGGCUAUUUACCAGCGACUCAAUGGGUAUUGGGACCUGAAGAAGAGCUGGGAAAGCUGUGUGGACCUGCUGCUGACCCUGCAGAAUCUGCACAGGAGACUGUGCAAUGGGAGAGGAGACACCAUAUCCUUGUUUUCUUUCUCAGAAGACCUGUUCAGCAUCAUGGGUUGCUUCCCAUGUCCUCUCUACCAUGAAGGGUUUGGUAACCACCUGCAUCCUGAGAACCCUCAACCUUUCAGGGACCAGCCUGGAGAUCAUUGCAUCCCUGUUCCUUCUGCACAGCUUCAAAGGAACCCAUUGCCUAUGAUGUCCCAGGGAAAUUCCUGAUUUCUCAGAUGGGAGACCCAGAAGCACUGCUGUUUGUCCUCAGUUCCACACCUACUAUCUGCCUGUGAUCCAGGACUCUGGGGCCUCCAGCAUCAGCAGCCAUGGUCAACCCCUGAUUAAAACUCAGAUUCUCAAUAAAGACUAGUGGAUUUUUUUUUUUCUUCUCUCAAAACCUCAGGACCGUGCAGCAUUGUGGGUUUAGGCUUCUUUCUCUACCUCCUAAGAGAGGACAAUGUAAAAAUCAAUAAAGUCAAUAAAUGUCCCUGAAGUAA